AGCAGCCGCGGUAAUUCCAGCUCCAAUAGCGUAUAUUAAAGUUGUUGCAGUUAAAAAGCUCGUAGUUGAAUUUCGGGAUCAGUACGCUGGUCAUGCCUUUGGUAUGCACCGGUGUCACUGGUUUCUCCCUUCUGAAGAUCCGUGAUGUCAUUAAUUUGGUGUCGCGGGGAAUCAGGACUGUUACUUUGAAAAAAUUAGAGUGUUUAAGGCAGGCUCACGCUUGAAUACAUUAGCAUGGAAUAAUGAAAUAGGACGUUUGACCCUAUUUUGUUGGUUUCUAGGAUCGACGUAAUGAUUAAUAGGGAUAGUUGGGGGCAUUAGUAUUCAAUUGUCAGAGGUGAAAUUCUUGGAUUUAUUGAAGACUAACUACUGCGAAAGCAUUUGCCAAGGAUGUUUUCAUUAAUCAAGAACGAAAGUUAGGGGAUCGAAGACGAUCAGAUACCGUCGUAGUCUUAACCAUAAACUAUGCCGACUAGGGAUCGGAUGAUGUUAAUUUUAUAAUGACUCAUUC
rnacentral:rRNA from 1 species